CUCAGCUUUCGAUGGAGGAGAAAAGAGGGAAGACACACCUGUUGGGCUGGAGGAGAAGCCAGUGAACUGAUAUGCAGGAUGAAAUGAUUCAACUAAACCAUAACAGCUGUUCCAGUCGCCUGGUGGGGAGUGAGUACGGAAGCAACUCAAUUUUCCACACCUUCCGCAUUUCCACCCAGGAACCCAGAAAGCUGCCAUGCCUGCAGGAGGACGAAGCCACACUCAGAGGAGAUGAGCCCUUUGUACGAUUAAUCAGCUACAUCUCUGUGUUGUAUGCUGUGAUGUCUAAUUUCCAGAGGAAAGAGCAUUUUCAGACCACAUAAAUGAUGAUGCUUUUGGAAAAAAAAAAAAGCAGCAGAAAGGAAA